ensembl:lncRNA CCDC13-AS1 CCDC13 antisense RNA 1
GAUUCUCAAUGAGCAAGAGAAGAUGAGGGAAGGUGCUAGAAGCCAGGCCCAGGAAGGUUCCUCAGGUUAAUUCUCACGUAGCAGGCUGCGGAUCCUCAGCAGGUUUUUCUCCUGUGCCGACAGCUUCCUUGGGUCUGGAUAGACAGACAACUCAUCACUGGCUGUUCCCGCAGACUGGCUCCGGGCCUGGCCCAAUUGCUUCUCAAGCUCUUGAACCUGAGGAUGGUAAAACUCGUCGUUCCACAAUGGGUCUUCUGCCAGCCUCUUCUACUCAGAAGUGUGAUAGGAGACCCCACAGACUGAAGAUGGAACCACCUCUCUAGAUGGCUGUGGUAGCCCCAUCUGAGGAGGACUAGGGGUGGGGGACAAUCUGAGCUGGCAUCUUGAGCAACACAUUGGAAGACACCAGGAAAGUUCAGCUUAGAAAAAUGGUGUGAAGAUGAAGACAUAGGAAGAUGAAGGGGUUUGCCCAAGGUCAGAGUUGGCAGACCGGUGGCCAAACGUAAACUCAGGUCUCUUGAACCCCAAGGCCAUGCACUAUCAUCUAUUAGCUUCUUGGAGUUUUUCCCCCUUUAUAUUGGCUUCAAGGAUCCCAUGGGAGACACUGAAGAUAAAAGCCACUGUGACCCUCGAAGUCCCUGGGAACAAGGGUGAUAUGCUUGGCAAAUGGUGGAAGUCAUACACCUUCUCACAUGUUUCUCAGUUUGAAGGGACAAAGGGAAAAGAACCACACCUAACUUUUAUACAGUGCUUCCUCCAUGCCAGGCCCUGUGCUGAGCAUUUUACAAGUAUUGACUCAAUUCUCCCAACAAUCCUGUGGGGUAGGCAUCGUUAUUAUCCCCAUUAUACAGAUGAGGAAACUGAGGCACAGAGCUAAAGGAACUUGCUUAAGGUCACACAGCUGGUGAGUGGAGAGCUGGGAUUUGAAUCUGAGCAGUGUGGCUCCAGAGCCCCUGCUGUUAGCUGCUUUUGGUAUGCUCCAAAAUAUUCAGACAAUAAAGAGGGAGACAAGGCUAAAUUUUUAUUGGGUAAUUAAACUUUCAAAAGACUACAAGCAUCUGGACAAAACUGGAAAAAGCUUACAAUUACAACAGUCACGCAAAUCUACAUAAACUAAGAAAAAAAAAA